CCUACGGGGGGCAGCAGUGGGGAAUAUUGCGCAAUGGGCGAAAGCCUGACGCAGCGACGCCGCGUGAGGGAUGAAGGUCUUCGGAUCGUAAACCUCUGUCAGCAGGGAAGAACGGUCACUGUGCUAAUCAGCAGUGAAUUGACGGUACCUGCAAAGGAAGCACCGGCUAACUCCGUGCCAGCAGCCGCGGUAAUACGGAGGGUGCGAGCGUUAAUCGGAAUUACUGGGCGUAAAGCGCUCGUAGGCGGUAUGUCAAGUCAAGGGUGAAAUCCCCGCGCUCAACGUGGGAACUGCUUUUGAAACUGGUAAACUUGAGUGUUUGAGAGGAUGGUGGAAUUCCAGGUGUAGGAGUGAAAUCCGUAGAUAUCUGGAGGAACAUCAGUGGCGAAGGCGACUAUCUGGCACAUAACUGACGCUGAGGAGCGAAAGCGUGGGUAGCAAACAGGAUUAGAUACCCGAGUAGUC
rnacentral:rRNA from 1 species